GAGUUUGAUCGUGGCUCAGGACGAACGCUGGCGGCGUGCCUAACACAUGCAAGUCGAACGGGACCAGGGGCAACUCUGGUUCAGUGGCGGACGGGUGCGUAACACGUGAGGAACAUGACUUUCGGUGGGGGAGUAGCCGGCCCAACGGCCGGGUAAUACCGCGUACGACCUUUGGGGUACGAUCUCCGAUUGGUGAAAGCAGCAAUGCGCCGAAAGAGUGCCUCGCGGCCUAUCAGCUAGUUGGUGGGGUAACGGCUCACCAAGGCGACGACGGGUAGCUGGUCUGAGAGGAUGGCCAGCCACAUUGGGACUGAGACACGGCCCAGACUCCUACGGGAGGCAGCAGUGGGGAAUAUUGCGCAAUGGGCGAAAGCCUGACGCAGCGACGCCGCGUGUGGGAUGACGGCCUUCGGGUUGU
rnacentral:rRNA from 1 species